GUGGGGAAUAUUGGACAAUGGGGGGAACCCUGAUCCAGCCAUGCCGCGUGUGUGAAGAAGGCCUUUUGGUUGUAAAGCACUUUAAGCGAGGAGGAGGCUACCGAGAUUAAUACUCUUGGAUAGUGGACGUUACUCGCAGAAUAAGCACCGGCUAACUCUGUGCCAGCAGCCGCGGUAAUACAGAGGGUGCAAGCGUUAAUCGGAUUUACUGGGCGUAAAGCGCGCGUAGGUGGCCAAUUAAGUCAAAUGUGAAAUCCCCGAGCUUAACUUGGGAAUUGCAUUCGAUACUGGUUGGCUAGAGUAUGGGAGAGGAUGGUAGAAUUCCAGGUGUAGCGGUGAAAUGCGUAGAGAUCUGGAGGGAUACCGAUGGCGAAGGCAGCCAUCUGGCCUAAUACUGACACUGAGGUGCGAAAGCAUGGGGAGCAAACAGGAUUAGAAACCCCGGUAGUCC
rnacentral:rRNA from 1 species